rnacentral:lncRNA from 10 species
UAGCUUUGAAUACAUAGAAAUAGUUAUAAUAUCACUUGACACUUUGGAGAGAGUAAUUGCCCUAAUUAUUUCCAUUCUUUGUCUUAAUUUGCUGAUAGAGACCUGGACUUAAUCUCAGCUGGUGUACAGAGUUCUCUCCAAAAACAAGUGGCCUACUUCACAUUCAGUGAAUUGAUAUAUUCUUAUUUUAAGUUAUCAGGUCCCUGAACUUUAGCUGGCCCCAAAACUUGAGCAAGCUCUAAAAAGCAGAACAUCUCCCACUUAACAGUUUAUUCUGAGAACUGGCCAACCACAGGAGGGAAAAUCAUAUCUCCAGUUAAAGUGCCCUGAUCAUGCCAUCUGCUCAUCCUACCCCCUUUGCCCUGCUCCCACACAAAGUUCCUGCUAGCCCUGUUUACGUCUUCUUUUUUAAACUCUUUUUUUAAAAUUUGAUUUUUAGACAUUUGAAGAUUUCCAUGGUCAGAGGGUCUGUAAUAGUCUUUUUUGAAUAAAGCUGCUCCUUACCUAAAUCCAGAUUUGUUUUCAUUGAAUAUAAUAAUAAAUGACCAUAUUACUUUCACCUAGAUUUAUCAAUUUUGCUACAUUUGUACACUUUCUUUUUCAUAUUUAUCUAUUACUAUAUUAUGUAAUACAUUAUAUAUGCACAUACAUUAUUCAAAAAUAGUUAUCUCUUCC